GAUGAACGCUAGCGGCAGGCUUAAUACAUGCAAGUCGAGGGGUAUAAAGUAGCUUGCUAUUUUAGAGACCGGCAAACGGGUGCGGAACACGUACACAAUCUAACCUUAUCUGGGGGAUAGCCCAUAGAAAUGUGGAUUAAUACCCCAUAGUAUUACGGAGUGGCAUCAUUUUGUAAUUAAAGAAUUUCGGAUAAGGAUGAGUGUGCGUCUGAUUAGGUAGUUGGCGGGGUAACGGCCCACCAAGCCGACGAUCAGUAGCUGAUGUGAGAGCAUGAUCAGCCACACGGGCACUGAGACACGGGCCCGACUCCUACGGGAGGCAGCAGUAAGGAAUAUUGGUCAAAUGGACGGAAGUCUGAACCAGCCAUGCCGCGUGAAAGGACGAAAGGCGUUCUGCGUUGUAAAACUUCUUUUAUCAGAGAAGAAACCACGAUUUCUAUUGGUGUUUACGGUAUCUGAUGAAUAAGCACCGGCUAAACUCCGUGCCAGC
rnacentral:rRNA from 1 species